AGAGUUUGAUCCUGGCUCAGAACGAACGCUGGCGGCAGGCUUAACACAUGCAAGUCGAACGAGUAAGAGCCGUAGCAAUACGGAGUUCUGCUAGUGGCGCACGGGUGAGUAACGCGUGGGAAUAUGCCCUUUAGUACGGAAUAACAGUUGGAAACGACUGCUAAUACCGUAUACGCCCUUCGGGGGAAAGAUUUAUCGCUAAAGGAUUAGCCCGCGUGAGAUUAGGUAGUUGGUGGGGUAAUGGCCUACCAAGCCUACGAUCUCUAGCCGGUCUGAGAGGACGAUCGGCCACACUGGAACUGAGACACGGUCCAGACUCCUACGGGAGGCAGCAGUGGGAAUAUUGGACAAUGGGCGAAAGCCUGAUCCAGCCAUGCCGCGUGAGUGAUGAAGGCCUUAGGGUUGUAAAGCUCUUUUGUCAGGGAAGAUAUUGACGGUACCUGAAGAAUAAGCACCGGCUAACUUCGUGCCAGCAGCCGCGGUAAUACGAAGGGUGCUAGCGUUGUUCGGAAUUACUGGGCGUAAAGCGCGCGCAGGCGGUCUAUCAAGUCAGAGGUGAAAUGCCGAAGCUCAACUUCGGAACUGCCUUUGAAACUGUUAGACUAGAAUAUGGGAGGGGAUAGCGGAAUUCCUAAUGUAGAGGUGAAAUUCGUAGAUAUUAGGAGGAACACCGGUGGCGAAGGCGGCUAUCUGGCCCAUUAUUGACGCUGAGGCGCGAAAGCGUGGGGAUCAAACAGGAUUAGAUACCCUGGUAGUCCACGCUGUAAACGAUGAGUGCUAGCUGUUGGGACCUUAGGUCUCAGUGGCGCAGCUAACGCAUUAAGCACUCCGCCUGGGGAGUACGGUCGCAAGAUUAAAACUCAAAGGAAUUGACGGGGACCCGCACAAGCGGUGGAGCAUGUGGUUUAAUUCGAGGCAACGCGAAGAACCUUACCAGGACUUGACAUGUCCAGUUUGGAUUUCAGAAAUGAUUUCCUUCAGUUUGGCUGGCUGGAACACAGGUGCUGCAUGGCUGUCGUCAGCUCGUGUCGUGAGAUGUUGGGUUAGGUCCCGCAACGAGCGCAACCCUCAUCUUUAGUUGCUACCAUUUAGUUGAGCACUCUAAAGAAACUGCCGGUGAUAAGCCGGAGGAAGGUGGGGAUGACGUCAAGUCUUCAUGGCCCUUAUGUCCUGGGCUACACACGUGCUACAAUGGCAGUGACAAUGCGCCGCUACCUCGCGAGGGGAAGCUAAUCGCAAAAAGCUGUCUCAGUUCGGAUUGUACUCUGCAACUCGAGUACAUGAAGUUGGAAUCGCUAGUAAUCGCGCAUCAGCGUGGCGCGGCGAAUACGUUCCCGGGUCUUGUACACACCGCCCGUCACACCAUGGGAGUUGGUUCUACCUUAAGCUGCUGUGCUAACCGCAAGGAGGCAGGCAACCACGGUAGGGUCAGUGACUGGGGUGAAGUCGUAACAAGGUA
rnacentral:rRNA from 1 species